AUACGUAGGGUGCGAGCGUUGUCCGGAAUUACUGGGCGUAAAGAGCUCGUAGGUGGUUUGUCGCGUCGUCUGUGAAAUUCCGGGGCUUGACUCCGGGCGUGCAGGCGAUACGGGCAUAACUUGAGUACUGUAGGGGAGACUGGAAUUCCUGGUGUAGCGGUGAAAUGCGCAGAUAUCAGGAGGAACACCGGUGGCGAAGGCGGGUCUCUGGGCAGUAACUGACGCUGAGGAGCGAAAGCAUGGGUAGCGAAUAGGAUUAGAUACCCUGGUAGUCCAUGCCGUAAACGGUGGGCGCUAGGUGUAGGGGUCUUCCACGACUUCUGUGCCGUAGCUAACGCAUUAAGCGCCCCGCCUGGGGAGUACGGCCGCAAGGCUAAAACUUAAAGGAAUUGAAGGGG
rnacentral:rRNA from 1 species